rnacentral:rRNA from 1 species
UACGAAGGGGGCUAGCGUUGCUCGGAAUUACUGGGCGUAAAGGGCGCGUAGGCGGCUUUUCAAGUCAGAGGUGAAAGCCCAGGGCUCAACCUUGGAACUGCCUUUGAAACUAGAUGGCUAGAAUUCUGGAGAGGUCAGUGGAAUUCCGAGUGUAGAGGUGAAAUUCGUAGAUAUUCGGAAGAACACCAGUGGCGAAGGCGACUGACUGGACAGAUAUUGACGCUGAGGUGCGAAAGCGUGGGGAGCAAACAGG